AAGGAUCAUUACAGAGAGGGGGCUUUCGGGCUUCCGGGGGCUUCGGCCCCCAACUCUUCACCUCAUGUCUACCUACCUUUGUUGCUUUGGCGGGCCUCGAGGCUUGCCUCACGUCGGCCCGGAGGUAUCGCUACCUCGGCCGGCCCGUGCCCGUCAGAGGCCCACUCAAUUCUGUUUCAUCGGUGACGUCCGAGUACAAACAUUAAUACUUAAAAAACUUUCAACAACGGAUCUCUUGGUUCCAGCAUCGAUGAAGAACGCAGCGAAAUGCGAUAAGUAAUGUGAAUUGCAGAAUUCAGUGAAUCAUCGAAUCUUUGAACGCACAUUGCGCCCCUCGGUAUUCCGGGGGGCAUGCCUGUUCGAGCGUCAUUGCACUCCUCAAGCGUAGCUUGGUAUUGGGCCUUCGCUUCCGAGGCGGACCCGAAAAGUAGUGGCGGUCCGGUGGGACUUCGAGCGUAGUAAAUUUUCAUCCCGCUUCGGAAGCUUCUCGUCGUGACCCGCCAGAUAACCCCUCAAACCUUUCAAUAAUUGACCUCGGAUCAGGUAGGAGUACCCGCUGAACUUAA
rnacentral:rRNA from 1 species